CACAGCUAUGCAAAUUGGCGUAUGAUUAUUUGAGAAAAUCUAAAGAUUGUGAGGGUAACAUCUAUGAAUUUUUUGCUAAUGAAGCUGAGGCUGAGUCUCUGUACGUGAAGCUGAUAGAAGAGUUUGAAAGAUGCAUCCUCAGUUACUUUGCCUUUCACUGGACUCGAGUCUCCCAUUUGAUCACUCAGGUGAUCAAUGAUGA
rnacentral:misc_RNA from 1 species